rnacentral:rRNA from 1 species
UACAGAGGUCUCAAGCGUUGUUCGGAUUCAUUGGGCGUAAAGGGUGCGUAGGUGGUGGGGUAAGUCGGAUGUGAAAUCCCGGGGCUCAACCCCGGAACUGCAUUCGAAACUGCCUUGCUCGAGUACUGGAGAGGAGACUGGAAUUUACGGUGUAGCAGUGAAAUGCGUAGAUAUCGUAAGGAAGACCAGUGGCGAAGGCGAGUCUCUGGACAGAAACUGACGCUGAGGCGCGAAAGCUAGGGGAGCAAACAGG